GUUGUUAAGAUAAUUCUCUUGGGACAGACUGUUAACAUAUCCUAAAUUGAGUAGCUGUCCAGCGAGCAGGCAAGAUUUGGUCCUGUCAUGCCAAGAUUUGUGUGGUAGUACACUCUAAAAAUUAGGGGUUCAACUGGAGUCCUUCUAAGAUCCUCAAAGAACCUUAAGGUUCUUGGCAAUGAAAAACGGCCCCCAAAAGGUUAUUUGAAGAACUUCUUAGGAGGUGGGUUCAUCGAGGAACCCCCAUUGUUGCUGGAGUUCUUCGGGGGAACUUCACAACUGAAAACAUGAAUGCGACAACAGUUUAAAAAGGUAAGCUGGGUUGGUCUCUGAAUAUGUAUCAAAAUAAUUAAUAUAAAAUACCAAUGAAUGACGAAGACCAUUAUGGUCUUCUGUGAAUAGCUUCCUUAACUUUUCUAUAGCUGUCACGCUAGUUAGCUAUGGUACAGUAAAAAUAACUUAAAUAUUAGAAAGUCGGGUUUGCCAGUUGGCGUUGUAUGAGCUACUGUACCGUUAGCUAUGUCCUUACUGGGCAGGACUAGGUUUGUAUUAUUUCCUGAACUAUAUUCUGUCCCAUUUUGUAUAUCAUUUCCGUAAAGCCAACAUGGCUUUACACUCAUUAUUAACGUAAGUUUCCAAUCUAGAGCAGUUCUCAUGUCAGCAUGAACUAGUUAAUGUUAGCUUUGUUGACGCUAGCUAGCCAACACUUUAUUUAGUUGCAUUUUGUUUUAGCUAGCCUACUAAGGACGGUGACCUGUCCAGCCGAGAUGUUACAAUGAACUGAAUCGCAGUAUUUUUACUGUAUGGCUAGUGCUUUCUCCAAUAUGCUCUUCUAUUUUGCAUUCAAGUUUGUCUGACAUUUCUUUCAAUAUUAAUUUAAUAUAUAUAAACAGUUGAAGUUGGAAGUUUACAUACACCUUGGCCAAAUACAUUUAAACUCUGUUUUUCACAAUUCCUGAUAUUUAAUACUGUUUUAGGUCAGUUAGGAUCACCACUUAUUUUAAGAAUGUGAAAUGUCAGAAUGAUUUCUUUCAGCUUUUAUUUCUUUCAUCACAUUCCCAGUGGGUCAGAAGUUUACAUGCACUCAAUUAGUAUGUGGUAGUAUUGCCUUAAACAAUUUAAACAUGGGUCAAAUGUUUCGGGUAGCCUUCCACAAGCUUCCCACAAUAAGUUGGUUGCAUUUUGGCCCAUUUCUCUUGACAGAGCUGGUGUAACUGAGUCACGUUUGUAGGCCUCCUUGCUCGUACACAAUUGUUCUGCACACAAAUUUUCUAUAGGAUCGAGGUCAGGGCUUUGUGAUGGGCACUCCAAUACCUUGAUUUUUCUGUCCUUAAGCCAUUUUGGAACAACUUUGGAAGUAUGGUUGGGGUCAUUGUCCAUUUGGAAGACCCAUUUGCGACCAAGCUUUAACUGAUGUCUUGAGAUGUUGCUUCAAUAUAUCCACACAAUUUUCCUCCCUCAUGAUGCUAUCUAUUUUGAAGUGCAUCAGUACCUCCUGCAGCAAAGCACCCCAACAACAUGAUGCUGCCACCCCCGUGCUUCAUGGUUGGGAUGGUGUUCUUUGGCUUGCAAGCUUCCCCCUUUUUCCUCCAAACAUAACGAUGGUCAUUAUGGCCAAAUGGUUCUAUUUUUGUUUAAUCAGACCAGAGGACAUUUCUCAAAAGUAUGAUAUUUGUCCCCAUGUGCAGUUGCAAAAUGUAGUCUGGCUUUUUAAUGGCAGUUUUGGAGCAGUGGCUUCUUCUUGCUGAGUGGCCUUUCAGGUUAUGUCGAUAUAGGGACUCAUUUUACUGUGGAUAUAGAUACUUUUGUACCCGUUUCCUCCAGCAUAUUCUUGGUCCUUUGCUGUUCUGGGAUUGAUUGCACUUUUCUCACAAAAGUACGUUCAUAUCUAGGAGACAGAACACAUCUCCUACCUGAGCGGUAUGACUGCUGUGUGGUCCCAUGGUUUUAUACUUGCGUACUAUUGUUUGUAUAGAUGAACGUGGUACCUUCAGGUGUUUGGAAAUUGCUCCCAAGGAUGAACCAGACUUGUGGAGGUCUUCAAUUUUUCUUCUGAGGUCUUGGCUGAUUUCUUUUGAUUUUUUUUUCUUCCCAUGAUGUCAAGCAAAGAGGUACUGAGUUUGAAGGUAGGCCUUGAAAUGCAUCCACAGGUACAUCUCCAAUUGACUCAAAUUGUCAAUUAGACUAUCAGAAGCUUCUAAACUCAUGACAUUUUCCAAGCUGUUUUAAAGGCACAGUCAACUUAGUGUAUGUAAACUUCUGACCCACUGUUUCACUGUAUCACAAUUCCAAUCUGUAUGUGAACAAUUGUUGGAAACAUUACUUGUCAUGCUCAAAGUAGAUGUCCGAACUGAAUUGCCAAAACUAUAGUUUAACAAGAAAUUUGUGGAGUAGUUGAAAAAUGACUUUUAAUGACUCCAACCUAAGUGUAUGUAAACUUCUGACUUCAACUGUUCUUUGACACAUUUUCUCUUCCUUUUGAAAUUCUUAUAGAACAGAACAUGGACAAUGCAAUUGGGAUCAAGAAGAAGAUAUUCUCAAAAAUGAAUCGAAUCCAUGGACUGGAUAGAGAAAAUGAAAAUGUAAAGGACUCCGUAAGGCUAGUGGCAAAAUGAUAGCAGAGUUAGAGGUGAGGACAUCAUCCUGCUAUUUCGGCAGUCCCUGAAGGACAAUACAGAAGAGGCACACAGGUAUUUGCUAUAGUUCCUUACCUUUCUCUAAUGUAGUCAAUACAUAGUACAUUAAAUAUGUAUUUUGUAAUAAAAUUAGCAAAUGUAGUAAGAUUGUUGCUUUACUAGGACUCGAGACCACAGCUCUUGCCCUUCUUCAAUGAGGACACGAGUGGCCUUUGUCUGUGACAAGGUUUCACCGCUCCCAACUCCUUUACUGAACAAUGGUGGAAAUUAAUUUCACCAUGCGAGUGAAAUCACGCUGGCCUUUGCUGGGGAGAAAAUCCACGCCCUAGAGGACGCCCACAUGGGACUUGGGUCCCGAGGGCUGUAUUUAAAAAAAGAUAAUUUAAAACAUUUUAUUUUCACUAACAUUUCCCAAAAAUGUCAACACGUUCUUAAGUUGCUGUGUUCUGGGGAUAAGAGAAGUUGGGGUGAAGUUACAAGGGCUGGUCUUAAAGAUGGCAAACUUCCUAACGUAACUAAGUGGUUGAUGGACACACACACUAAAGCAAAAAAAAUCAGUAUUUAGCAUGAAGUCUACAGUAUUGUUAGUUUACUUAUGAUUUGUUUUUAUUGUACAUAAUUACAAUAUUUUUUUCAUAAAUUUAAAAGCUCUAUACAAAGUAAAUGUAUUAUUAUGGUCAGACAUUUUGUGUUUUGUUUAGUGAAUUGUUUUUGUAAAUAUUAAUUCACAUUUGUGGUGCCACUAAAUAACCAAUUAUUUAAAUCAAUAUUGUUAUUAAAUAUUGUAUAUGGAGUUACAUUUUUCGCUCUGAGACCUUGAAGUAGUUUUUUCACUUGAUCUGCAAGUGCCGUGGCUUUUGUGGCGCGAUCGGUAACGAUGCUUCUUGGGAUGUUGAUAUGUGCAGAGUGUCCCUGGUUCGAGAAGAGGGACGGAAGAAACAGUUACACCUGCUAAAUCUAAUUUCUGAGAGAGAAGUAGGCAUAGAUCAAUAUCUUUGUCUCUGUCGCCCUAUUCCAUCAUUAGGCCUAUGCCCCAUGAAUGUUGGUAGUUUUUGUUGCCAGUACAAACUCCACAUCAAAGUCAAUUUAUAACACAGAUUUUAGUUUUGUUUUAUAUCAUAGAGGACAGAGGUAUUUGGGCAGUUCCAUGAUAACGGAGUUACUCGUUGACUCCGAGUUUUCACUAUAAAAUGUGUGCCAAACAAAAACCAUUGAUUUUAAACUGUAUAUAGACUUUGUUUUAUUUUGUUCUGCUGUAUUAAUGACUAUGUUUUGUUUAGUCCAUGUGUAACUGUCUGUCGAAUUGCUACGUUUUAUCUUGGCCAGGUCGCAGUUGCAAAUGAGAACUUGUUCUCAACUAGCCUACCUGGUUAAAUGGAAAACAACUUUUCGCAAACCAUAUAAGGACUGCGUUGAAAAAUGUACACGUCAAAAACACAUUUACUGGAAGAACUGUGCAGAUGCAAAGAUUGGUGACAGAAUUACAAUAAAAUUUCUUUUGCGACCACGUUUUCCAAAAACCCUGUUAACCCUUUACACUCGCUAGUUGAAAAUGACAGAUUUUCCCACUGAUAAGCGCCUAAAUUGGACCGCAGUGGCUGUACAGCAACUUGCUAUAAAUGUCAGAGCUCAGGUCUCCUUCACAACACUGUAUGGGUUUUGAAUGACAGCCGUCCUGAAUUUGAGCACCGCACACAACAAGAAGUUGCCCCCAUCUCUCCAACUAAUUAGGCAACUUUUUUGCCUGAGUGAGCGAAAUGCUGAAAAUUAAGAGGACUGUAUGUAUUUUGAAAGAUGAGAUGUUGAGGAUUAUAAUAAAUGUCAUACAAGCAAGCCAAACAGCUGAGUCCAAAUGUGUACUUCAUAUAAAAAAAACUCCGGUCAUAAAAAAGCAAUUUAUAGUUAAUUACUCGAGUCAUAAAAGUGCAUAGAAAUUACUUAGGUACUGUGCACACUUUGGAGAUAUGUGUGGUCACCUGGAGACACUAGUUAGUCCUCUCACUCAAACACUUGUUUUUCACACACCCCACAUUUCCAGGAUAUUUUUUUAUCAUGUUACUGAAUGUAUCCAGAGUAUUUUCUGAUUUCAUUAUCAACACGUGGUGAAAAGUACAGUAAAUCUAAAAUGCACAUCAAAUCAACAGUGUAAUGUUUAGAUUCAGAAUGACAGUGCAUUCGUAAAAUAUUCAGGCCCCAUUAAUUCUAACAUAUUGACAUGCAUUGACUCAGGGGUGUGAAUACUUAUGUAUUUCAUUUUCAAUAAAUUUCAAAUUCAAUAAAUUUGAUUACAUUUCUAAAAACAUGUUUUCAAUGUCAUUCUGGGGUAUUUCAUUUAAAGUGCUCGAAAGCUUUUUUACUGUCAUUCUAUAUAUAUAUUUUAUAUUUGUUUCAUAGUACAGUUUCUUAAUUUUUUGUUUAGUUUAGUCACAUAAUCUCUCGAUUUACAGUACAUUUGAUGAUUAGCUGUCCAGCCAGACUUAUUUUCCAUUCCUUUUGACUCAUCAAAUCAAAUUUAUUUAUAUAGCCCUUCGUACAUCAGCUGAUAUCUCAAAGUGCUGUACAGAAACCCAGCCUAAAACCCCAAACAGCAAGCAAUGCAGGUGUAGAAGCACAGUGGUUAGGAAAAACUCCCUAGAAAGGCCAAAACCUAGGAAGAAACCUAGAGAGGAACCAGGCUAUGUGGGGUGGCCAGUCCUCUUCUGGCUGUGCCAUGUAGAGAUUAUAACAGAACAUGGCCAAGAUGUUCAAAUGUUCAUAAAUGACCAGCAUGGUCGAAUAAUAAUGAGGCAGAACAGUUGAAACUGGAGCAGCAGCACGGCCAGGUGGACUGGGGACAGCAAGGAGUCAUCAUGUCAGGUAGUCCUGGGGCAUGGUCCUAGGGCUCAGGUCCUCCGAGAGAGAGAAGUAGAGAAUUAGAGAACGCACACUUAGAUUCACACAGGACACCGAAUUGGACAAGAGAAGUACUCUAGAUAUAACAAACUGACCCCAGCCCCCCGACACAUAGCCUCCAGUAUUUAUGCUGCAGUAGUUUGAGACAGGAGGGGUCAGGAGACACUGUGGCCCCACCCGAGGACACCCCCGGACAGGGCCAAACAGGAAGGAUAUAACCCCACCCACUUUGCCAAAGCACAGCCCCCACACCACUAGAGGGAUAUCUUCAACCACCAACUUACCAUCCUGAGACAAAGCUGAGUAUAGCCCACAAAGAUCUCCGCCAUGGCACAACCCAAGGGGGGGUGCCAACCCAGACAGGAUGCCCACAUCAGUGAAUCAACCCACUCUGGUGACGCACCCCUUCCAGGGACGGCAUGAGAGAGCCCCAGUAAGCCAGUGACUCAGCCCCUGUAAUAGGGUUAGAGGCAGAGAAUCCCAGUGGAAAGAGGGGAACCGGCCAGGCAGAGACAGCAAGGGUGGUUCGUUGCUCCAGAGCCUUUCCGUUCACCUUCCCACUCCUGGGCCAGACUACACUCAAUCAUAUGACCCACUGAAGAGAUGAGUCUUCAGUAAAGACUUAAAGGUUGAGACCGAGUUUGCGUCUCUGACAUGGGUAGGCAGACCGUUCCAUAAAAAUGGAGCUCUAUAGGAGAAAGCCCUGCCUCCAGC